rnacentral:rRNA from 1 species
CCUACGGGAGGCAGCAGUGAGGAAUAUUGCACAGUGGGCGCAAGCCUGAUGCAGCGACGCCGCGUGGGUGAAGAAGGAUUUCGGUCUGUAAAGCCCUUUUCUGUGUGACGAGAGUGGACGGUAGCACAGGAAUAAGUCUCGGCUAACUACGUGCCAGCAGCCGCGGUAAU